rnacentral:rRNA from 1 species
UACGGAAGGCAGCAGUGGGGAAUAUUGCACAAUGGGCGCAAGCCUGAUGCAGCCAUGCCGCGUGUAUGAAGAAGGCCUUCGGGUUGUAAAGUACUUUCAGUCGUGAGGAAGGUGUUAAGGUUAAUAACCUUAGCAAUUGACGUUAGCGACAGAGGAAGCACCGGCUAACUCCGUGCCAGCAGCCGCGGUAAUACGGAGGGUGCGAGCGUUAAUCGGAAUUACUGGGCGUAAAGGGCACGCAGGCGGUUAAUUAAGUUGGAUGUGAAAUCCCCGGGCUUAACCUGGGAAUGGCAUUCAAGACUGGUUAGCUAGAGUCUUGUAGAGGGGGUAGAAUUCCAUGUGUAGCGGUGAAAUGCGUAGAGAUGUGGAGGAAUACCGGUGGCGAAGGCGGCCCCUGGACAAAGACUGACGCUCAUGUGCGAAAGCGUGGGGAGCAAACG